rnacentral:rRNA from 1 species
CCUACGGGGGGCAGCAGUGAGGAAUAUUGGUCAAUGGGCGUAAGCCUGAACCAGCCAAGUCGCGUGAGGGAUGAAGGUUCUAUGGAUCGUAAACCUCUUUUAUAAGGGAAUAAAGUGUGGGACGUGUGCGAUUUUGUAUGUACCUUAUGAAUAAGGAUCGGAUAACUCCGUGCCAGCAGCCGCGGUAAUACGGAGGUUCCGAGCGGUAUCCGGAUUUAUUGGGGUUAAAGGGUGCGUAGGCGGCCUUUUAAGUCAGCGGUGAAAGUCUGUGGCUCAACCAUAGAAUUGCCGUUGAAACUGGGGGGCUUGACUAUGUUUGUGGCAGGCGGAAUGCGUUGUGUAGCCGU